UACAGAGGUCUCAAGCGUUGUUCGGAUUCAUUGGGCGUAAAGGGCGCGUAGGCUGCGGGGCAAGUCGGGUGUGAAAUCUCAGAGCUCAACUCUGAAACUGCACUCGAUACUGCUUUGCUCGAGGACUGGAGAGGAGAUUGGAAUUCACGGUGUAGCAGUGAAAUGCGUAGAUAUCGUGAGGAAGACCAGUGGCGAAGGCGGAUCUCUGGACAAUUGCUGACGUUCAGGCACGAAAGCGUGGGGAGCAAAAGGG
rnacentral:rRNA from 1 species